rnacentral:rRNA from 1 species
UGGGGAAUUUUGGACAAUGGGCGCAAGCCUGAUCCAGCAAUGCCGCGUGUGUGAAGAAGGCCUUCGGGUUGUAAAGCACUUUUAUCAGGAACGAAAAGCGUGGGGUUAAUACCUUUACGUGCUGACGGUACCUGAGGAAUAAGCACCGGCUAACUUCGUGCCAGCAGCCGCGGUAAUACGAAGGGUGCAAGCGUUAAUCGGAAUUACUGGGCGUAAAGCGUGCGUAGAUGGUUUGUUAAGUCGGAUGUGAAAGCCCCGGGCUCAACCUGGGAACUGCAUCCGAUACUGGCAGACUAGAGUGUGGUAGAGGAUGGCGGAAUUCCCGGUGUAGCGGUGAAAUGCGUAGAGAUCGGGAGGAACAUCCGUGGCGAAGGCGGCCAUCUGGACCAACACUGACGUUGAGGCACGAAAGCGUGGGGAGCAAACAGGAUUAGAUACCCACGUAGUCCCUGAGCGGGCUGGCAAGGCGCAU